ensembl:lncRNA
CGUACUUCCAAGGGCAAGUUUUUCCACAUUCUCCCAGUCACUUUGGAAACGUGUCCAAUGUCUGCUUCAUUUCCCCCGUUUCCAAGCUCUUUUAUGACAUCGGACUGUUAAGGUGCGGCCACACCAGACGCGUAUCUCGCGUACUUCGCGUAUGAAAUCGCCAUUUUUUCCAUAGGGAACCAUUGGUUUACGCGCGUAUUACGCGUAUUAAGCAACAUUUUACGCGCGUAUAGCGCGUAUGUGGCGCGUAUAUUUACGCGCAAUACGCGCUAUACGCGCGUAUAUCGCGUACAUUUCAAGAGUUCAAAAAAUUGAACUUUUUACGCGAAGUACGCGAGAUACGCGUCUGACGAGACACGCAUUGCCCAAUCAGCGUUGAGCUUGACCCGACGUCACUGGCAGAGAGUAGUGAGCUUGGACAGAAGCAUACGGCCGACAUCUUUCUUUAUUCUGUGUGGAAAUAGUAACAUAGUUACGCCAUUAAAUGCUUUUAUGGAAACAUUUCUAGCGAGAAAUGUGCAUUUUACUUUCAUAAUGUUCACUCGGUGAAUGUGAAGGAUGUUUGGUUUGAUAGUUAUGACGAAGAGGGAACGCUCCGUUCACUUGCAUGGACAGAGUCUCUGGUUACUAAGCAACCUCAACGUCUUGGCGGACUAUUUCUCUGCUGAUCAACACUACAGACACUACACGAACAGAAAUGGAGGUCGAUCAAAAUAUCAUCGUCGCCGUGUGCGGCCGUCCUGUCCUGUACGACACCACGAUGGUGUCGUACAAGGACAGGAACAAAACAGAGAGGGCGUGGGUCGACGUGGCAGAGGAUAUUGGCGUUCCUGUGGACGUAUGUCGCAGGAGGUGGAAGUCACUCAGGGACAGGUACAUGAGAUACAAAAAGAAUGAAAAGGAGGGAAAAAAGAGCGGGUCAGCGGCAGGGAGAGUGGACACGUGGAGAUUUGCUAGGGUCCUGUCCUUCCUCGACCCCUUUGUCACCCCGAGGGAGACCAGCAGCAAUUUACCUCUGGGGGCAGAGGAGGUUGAGGGGGACGGGGCUCCAGAGACUCCACUGUCAGGGGCAGGAGAAGAUGAGGAGCUUGAGCAGGCAGCAGCAUCGCACAAUACAGACCAGCCCAGCAGUGAGUCUGAUAUAGAGGACGCUGAUGCUGCUCCUGCUCCUGCUCCUGCUCCUGCCCCUGUCCCUGCCGCUGUCCCUUCCCAUGUACCUGUCCCUGAGGCUGCCCCUGCCCCAAGACCACAGGGCGCGACGAAGAGGAAGAGAGCAGCCAGGGUACCGGAGGGGAAUACUGUCCAGACAGCCAUCCUCCAGGCCCUGCAGAGGCAUAAUUCUGUGCCUACCCCUACCCCCCUUUCUGGGAAUGAGCACUUUGCCAUGGGCCUAGUUCCUUCCCUGGAUAGAUUGCCACCUGAAGUACUGGAGUACGUUAAAUUCCAAAUCCGUAAAGUCAUAUUUGACCAUUCUAAUUUCACCGUUCAAUUGGAACCUAUUUAAGCUUAUUAGCUAGUGGUGGUGACAAUCUCUCCAGGGAAAGAACUAGGCUGAUGUCACUGUUAACUGUUCAUUUGUUAUUGUUCUGUUCUGUUUAUAUUAUAUUGUUCUAUGUUAUUUUUAUUAUUUAUAUUUUUAUAAUUAUUUUUUAAAUAAAAUAUUUCUCACAACUCUUCUCUCAAUAUAUGAUUGUAAGUUCUAGCAUGCAUGGACACAAAUAUACAUUUUUAAUAACACUACUUAAUUGAACAAUUUUAAAAACAAUUUAAUAAUAAUGAAGGAAUCCCUUUUGUUUUGUGUGGGUGGCUCUUAAAAGAGCCGUUUUGGGGUUGUUGUGCACUGCACUAUACGAUGGUGUCAUGCCACGAGACGGUCCCUUCUGCAGAGAAGUAGGAGGUGAAGGUCUCGCGGAUCCGGAUGGCCUCUCCCCCGGCAUUGUUGGCAGCCACUCUCCCCAGCCCUGGCAGAGGCAACACCACACCAACAGGGAGGCAAUCUCUCACUUCUGCUGUUGGUGCUGUUCUGCGGAGGAGGUUGUGGAGAGGGGGAGGAUGCGUCCGGGGAAUGGCCUCAUGAGGUUGGUCCGUAGCGGAAAGGCCUCGUCCGCUACAAACACAUGAGGCAGGGGUCCUCUCUGCGCAGCCGCUGACAGUACUCUGUCAGCAGGGAGCUUGAGAUCGCCAGCUCGGAGGGCCUGACCAAACACCGAGUUGGCCAGAAUUCCUCCAUCACUGGUUCUCCCAUAGCCCCCCACAUCGAUGAUGCGGAAGCACUUGUCUGCGUCGACAACUGCCAAGAGAACAAUGGAAAAUGUUCCCUUGUAGUUGAAGAACUGCGAACCGGAGUUCGCAGGGGCCUUCAGAACAACAUGCUUCCCUUUCGAUGGCACCGCAACAGAGAGGGAAGUUCCACUGCUCCUCGAACUGCUGCGCAAUCACCCUCCAGUCCUCGGUAGUGGGCACAGCCAUGAACUCCUCCACCAGGCAGUCCCAUAUAGCCGUCACCCCAUCGGACACGAUGGAAGCCACGGUGGAGGACCCGACCCGGAAGCUGGUGGCUAUCGUCCGGAACGAAUCGCCAGUAGCCAGGAAUCUGCAACACAUGAAUAAUUUAUUUUAGCCUCAUUGAGAAUUUUUGUUGUAUACCAAAUAUGUAGGCCAAUUAUCUCACUGAUAUCACUGCACAGGUAUAUGUCUUGACUAGUGUUUACAGUGGAUUUGCAUCAGCUUAUUUUACUUUCAAAAACAUGACAAGGAGGUCAAGAAUGAAUAUUUUGGAGCCAUGAUGCAUUUAUUUAUUUUGUUUAUAUAAAACUCUGGUGACAUGCAUGUAUAUGAAGAUUUGCGUUUAGGUUGAAACCAUAGAUAAUAAAUAAAAACACUGUUGAAACACUGGGUGGAGCAUUGACAGGAAAUGCAUAGCAGGUAGGUGCAAGAGGGGAAACAGAUGUGCAAAGCAAACUGCUUUAUCACCAUGUUGUCAGCACGCUUUCGUUUGACUUGUGUUGAAUUUAACCCAAUGAAUAUUGACUGAUGUCACAAUGGCCUAUGCUCCCCCGUGCUUAGUUGAGCAUAGUGCACGAUGCUUGAAUAAAUGGGUAUGCACUAUCAGACCACGCGCCCGAACAAUUUCUCCCCGUUAUGUAUAUAGUUUUUGACUACAGAAUGUGCUGAUUGUUAUAGAGUAAUUAGGCUAUGAAACCGCAACUUACCGGAGACAGACAGACAGGCGCUCCGCAGUUGAUAUGGAGCGCCUGUAGUUGGUGUCCUGACGGGAGAUCCUGGCACCAACCCGGGCUAGCAGGUCAUCGAACUGGGCCCGACUCAGUCGAAAGUACCGCUGAAACCGGCCGUCAUCCAGGCGGAGUUCUUGGAGCAAGUGGUGAAACUCACCCAGCUGUAGCCGUCUCCGGAGGAUGUCGUGCACCCAAACACGACGGCGUUUGCGUUUGCGACGCUCCUCGGACUCCCACAGCAAAUAAAGCGCAGCGAUGGUGCCGAUAUCAGCCAUGUUUCAGAACAAAAGAAAAUAGAGGGGGGGGGGAGUUUUUGGCGGGCUCAUCUAGGCGAGUGACGUAGGCGCGUAUACCGCGUACAAUUUUUUGACACAAAAUGGUCAAGCAACAUUUUACGCGCGUAUCUCGCGUAAAAAGUACGCGAGAUACGCGUCUGGUGUGGCCGCACCUUUAAACAUAGCAAUGGCAAACGGUGUUACAUGGCAACCAUUCAUAUGGAGGGAAUAUAUUUCUUGGCGGAAGAAUGAUUAUCUAUGAAUAUAUCGUUACAUUUUUCGUUGCUGUGCCUUUGUUUAAUUAAAUCUUGCUAGAUCAACGUAGUAACCGUUUAAGAAAAGCAAUAAGCCACUCGAGUCUGUGCUUUGUACUGUAUAAUAAAUCCCCUUAGCUGUUCGAUUAGCCUACAGUAUAAAGCACGGCCUCUCGGGGCUUAUUGCUUAAAUAUAAUAUAAUACAUACAAUAAUACAUAUAAUAAUACAAUAUAAUGCUAAAUUAUACCGCAACUGCCUGGAAAAAUGUAUUCCAUCCUGUCGGCUUUUUAAUGGAUUUUUUUUUUGCACCUGCAGAGUCAUUAGCACCGCUAUGUUCCGCCAUUUUUUCAUAAUAAUAACAGGACCGACCUUACGUCGUGACGUCAGGAGCGACGUUGAAUGGCAUCGACCCUUUCAGAUGGCAAUGACCGUUUACGAAAGGGAAAUCUGCGGCGCCGCCCCUGCAAAAGCGCUUUUUAAAAGCUGGUUUGUACAUCCCGGGUCCCGUAGGCACCUCCAUAUCUACCCCUCACCACUGGAUGUCGCCCUCUUUCGUUUGUGAGAAACAAUUACGAGAAUGGACGAUAAGAGACUGGUCGUCGAGGUGGACAAAUAUGUCGAAUUGUAUGACCAAAGUUCCCGUCAUUACAAAGACAACUCCAAAAAGGUCAUUGCCUGGCGAGCCAUAGCUCUGGAGAUUGGAUCUUCAGGUGAGAAAUCAACAAUGGUGGACUAAGUACCCAAACCAUUAACCAUAAUGGGAAAUAGACGAAAUCAAGUAUUGAUUUCAAUAUAUACAUUAUUUUCAAAUAUAAUGUAUUUUCCACUAGCUAGUGGUGGUCAUUACAUUGUAGUGAAAGUAGUAAAGACAACACAGCUUUAUGUUACGGCGAAACAUGGAGGCACUGCAGCUCUCGACAAUGCGUUACUUUAGUCUGGUAUUUCUCUUCACUGAUUGGUUCGACAGCCUUCAAACUUAGUGGUCAAGCAAAGAAGAGGGAGGGGCUUGUUCUGCAUACCUAAUAGCCGUACUGAAAACUAAUAGCCGCGGCUAUUAGUCAUUCAAAAACCGUACGGAAUUCCUGCCAAACCGCACGGAUUCCGUACGGUUUUCGUGCGGUUUAGCACUUUUACCGCGCCAUUCUAGGGCCAGUUAUGCCGCUUUUCCACCGCACAUGUAGCUCGGCUCGACUCGACUAGACACGACUUGACACGACUCGACACGGUAGCAGCACGGGUCGUUUUCCACCGCAAAUAGUACCUCCUUGUACGCGACGCAAACAACACCUACGCAACCCACACAUGGACAGAACCCACAUAACAACAAUGGAGGACAUCGAUAACAUUACUAUUAUUAGCUGGUAUGUUGAAGAAGUUGAAGAAGUGGAAUAUGUUGGCUGCGGCGCUGCUAUGGCUGUUACCAGCAUGGUUGCAACUUGCCAUGUCGCUCUCGUGACUUCGUCACACUCUCUGGCCAAUCAGUGGCUGGCCGUCUGCCGACGUCACCUUUUAGCAUCGGCUCAGCCGCUUGGAACCUAGAGUGAGGCGGUACUAGAAAAAGCAGCCACUUCAGGUACCAGAUACCAUGUUUUCGCGGUGGAAACGCAAAAAAGGCGAGCUGAGUCGAGUCGAGUCGUGACGAGCUGGUACCAUGCAGUGGAAAAGCGGCAUUAGUGGCCUUCUUGUCUUUCCAUAGAAAGCCGCCGCUCUGCUCCCCAGGUGAACUAACACCGCCCCCCCCCCCCCCCCCCCCCUCUUCUUUUGGAAGCUCUCUGCUGCUCCCUGCUGGCAGUCUCACUACACUGUCCGCAUGUUUCACAAAUAGAGUUUGGAGAGACGUUGUCAGUGUCUGUAUGUUGCUUAAAUUCUCCAAAACAGUGGGCGCUAAAGAUCAGGGCACGGCAGGCCAUUACAGCCAAUGAGCUCGAGUUGAAAAGAAAAUAGCUUACAGCACCUGGUAUUCCCCUCUCCUGGAACCGUCACCUUAUCGUGGUGGAGAGGUUUGCGUGUCCCUGUGAACCUGAGAGCUGUGUUGUCGGGAGCCUUGUGCUCCUGGUAGGGUCUCUCAUGGCAGAGUGGUCUCA